rnacentral:rRNA from 1 species
UACGUAGGGUGCGAGCGUUAAUCGGAAUUACUGGGCGUAAAGCGUGCGCAGGCGGUCUGUUAAGACCGAUGUGAAAUCCCCGGGCUUAACCUGGGAACUGCAUUGGUGACUGGCAGGCUUUGAGUGUGGCAGAGGGAGGUAGAAUUCCACGUGUAGCAGUGAAAUGCGUAGAGAUGGGGAGGAAUACCGAUGGCGAAGGCAGCCUCCUGGGCCAACACUGACGCUCAUGCACGAAAGCGUGGGGAGCAAACAGG